rnacentral:rRNA from 1 species
GACGAACCGUGCGAACGUUGUUCGGAAUAACUGGGCUUAAAGGGCGCGUAGGCGGACUACCAAGUCAGGGGUGAAAUCCUGCGGCUCAACCGUAGAAGUGCCUUUGAUACUGGUGGUCUCGAGGGAGGUAGGGGGCGUGCGGAACUUCCGGUGGAGCGGUGAAAUGCGUAGAUAUCGGAAGGAACACCGGUGGCGAAAGCAGCUUUCUGGGACGGUACUGACGCUGAGACGCGAAAGCGUGGGGAGCGAACAGG